GAACGUACGCUGGCGGCACGCCUAACACAUGCAAGUCGAACGAAGUAGCAAUACUUAGUGGCAGACGGGUGAGUAACAUGUAGGUAUCUGCCCUUUGGCCUGGAAUAACACGAGGAAACUUGUGCUAAUACCGGAUAAGUCUUUACGGAGAAAGCUUUAUGCACCAUUGGAUGAGCCUGCACUUGAUUAGUUUGUUGGUGGGGUAAUGGCCUACCAAGACUGUGAUCAAUAGCUGAUUUGAGAGGAUGAUCAGCCACAUUGGGACUGAGACACGGCCCAAACUCCUACGGGAGGCAGCAGUGGGGAAUCUUGCACAAUGGAGGAAACUCUGAUGCAGCGAUGCCGCGUGAGUGAAGAAGGCCCUUGGGUUGUAAAGCUCUUUCGUCGGGGAAGAAAAUGACUGUACCCGAAUAAGAAGGUCCGGCUAACUUCGUGCCAGCAGCCGCGGUAAUACGAAGGGACCUAGCGUAGUUCGGAAUUACUGGGCUUAAAGAGUUCGUAGGUGGUUGAAAAAGUUAGUGGUGAAAUCCCAGAGCUUAACUCUGGAACUGCCAUUAAAACUUUUCAGCUAGAGUAUGAUAGAGGAAAGCAGAAUUUCUAGUGUAGAGGUGAAAUUCGUAGAUAUUAGAAAGAAUACCAAUUGCGAAGGCAGCUUUCUGGAUCAUUACUGACACUGAGGAACGAAAGCAUGGGUAGCGAAGAGGAUUAGAUACCCUCGUAGUCCAUGCCGUAAACGAUGUGUGUUAGACGUUGGAAAUUUAUUUUCAGUGUCGCAGGGAAACCGAUAAACACACCGCCUGGGGAGUACGACCGCAAGGUUAAAACUCAAAUGAAUUGACGGGGACCCGCACAAGUAGUGGAGCAUGUGGUUUAAUUCGAAGAUACGCGCAGAACCUUACCAACACUUGACGUGUUCGUCGCGACUCUAAGAGAUUAGAGUUUUCGGUUCGGCCGGACGAAACACAGGUGCUGCAUGGCUGUCGUCAGCUCGUGUCGUGAGAUGUUGGGUUAAGUCCCGCAACGAGCGCAACCCUCACUUUUAGUUGCCAUCAUUAAGUUGGGCACUCUGAAAGAACUGCCAGUGAUAAGCUGGAGGAAGGUGGGGAUGACGUCAAGUCCUCAUGGCCCUUACGUGUUGGGCUACACACGUGCUACAAUGGUAUCUACAACAGGAAGCAAAACUGCGAAGUUAAGCAAAUCCCUAAAAGAUACCUCAGUUCGGAUUGCACUCUGCAACUCGAGUGCAUGAAGCUGGAAUUACUAGUAAUCGUGGAUCAGCGUGCCACGGUGAAUGCGUUCCCGGGUCUUGUACUCACCGCCCGUCA
rnacentral:rRNA from 1 species